AGUAUUGUUAUUUUCUUUGUGAUUAUUGAUUGAGUUCUCCAUCUUUGAUUGUUCUUCUUGCUACUCUAGUUGAAUUAGGCCGAUUUAACUUAAGAUCCAUAGUCUAUUCAUCAGGCCAUAAAAAAAUGGUGUUGAUUAGGUGGAUCUAUAUAUCAUUUUAUGAGAAAGCUAGCUUAGCCAACUAACAAUUGAUGCUAUUGGGCUUGUCAACAAUUCAAACUUGUUUAUAAAUGUUUGUUAGAAAAGAACUUCUUAAAAUUGGUGAUAAGAAGAAAAGAAUUGCUUAGAGCAGUCCAAAAGUGUAGACAAUAUGGUAGUUAUACAAUAGAAAUUUAUGUUUAAGAUCCAACAUAAUCAUAUCGAACUAAUUACAUGUGUUACAACCAAUUGAUGUUUUCUUGUAUAUUUCUAUUUAUCGUUUAUCUUUGCAUGAAUACCGAUCAGUUUUUUUUUUUCCUUUUAUACCGGUCAGUAUUGCACUUAACCCCGAUCCUACAGUCUAUGAGAUUUAUUUGUUGUUCUACCUUAAUCUGGUCUAUAUAUAGUGUGUGCUUGCUUUGGUCAUUGUAGAUUUGAUCGCUAAAUAAUGGUCUUGGGAUAAAAACCGAAUCAAAAUAACCGAACUGAACGGAAAUUUUUGGUGUUUAGUUUGGGUUCGGUUAUUAGGUGUGAACCGCUCGGCAGGAAAAAAAAUAAUAAUUCGGAAAUCCGAAAUAUUUUGAUUAUCGGUUAAUAAUACCACAUAACCAAAAUUUAUCCUAAAAUAACCAAACUACCCGAAACAACCGCAUCCGAAAUAACCGGAAUAUUUAACCAAAAAACCGAAAACCCUGAAAUUGUCCUUAAAUAGUAAAACUUUAUUUCGUUACAAGUCUAGCAUUAUAUGUCUUAACAGGUUAACAGAUGUAUGUGUCGGUGCUAUUUAAACAGAAUACCGAAUAACCAUUGCCUUUCCUGAUAAUGAAGACGUUGCCAUAUUGAGUUAAGUCGCUAUUUCGAAUUUUUGAAUAUGGUCUGAUACAUAAAGUACUAUUUUUUUUUUCAUCAUUACAAAUUAUACGUCUCUCUUUGACAGGGACCGGACUCGAAUCCGGAUCUGGUGAGAAGAUAACAGAGGUUAUGGAAUGUUGUAUGACCAAGUGAAAUGCAUCCAAGGAUAUGAACCGUGUCGUGAUAAUGUAUCGGGGGACGUCAGCUGCACUAUCGAUUGUCAGAAUGAGAAUUUUGACUAUGGCGUAUGUAGUCAAGAUGGAGGAUGUUGUUGUCACAUAGAUAUCCCACAAAGAUGAAUUAAUCUAUGAGCUUUGUCAUCACUAGUUUCAGCCUCCCCACCAAGGUUAUGGAAUGUUGUAUGACCAAGUGAAAUGCAGCCAAGGAUAUGAACCGUGUCGUGAUCAUGUAUCCGGAGACGUCAGCUGCACUAUCGAUUGUAAAAAUGAUAAGUUCGAAUUCGGCGUUAAGUUUGACUAUGGGGUAUGUUCUCGAGAUGGAGGAUGUUGUUGUCACAGAGAUAUCCCCCCAAAGAUGAAUUAAUCUAAUCAAAAUGUUUUGGUAUUUUACUUAAUAAUAAAAGUUCAAUAGUUUCAAGAU